CUUUCUCUCACUUCACACACACUCUCUCAUACGUACGAUCAUCGCCCCUCCUUCUGGAAUUUCACUUUCUAGGGUUCGGGAUUCUCUUCGCUUUUGUGCCGCGGAAGGCUCUGUGAAAUGAUCUUUUUCCGCUUUUUUAUUUUUCUAUGAAUAUCCUCUUCUUCUUUUUCUUAAAGCUGGCGUUGAAUCGUGUAUACGAUUCGUAUAUCCUAUGAUCUUCUGGUUCGGGUUUUACUACUCGAUCCAAUUACUGUUAGGCGGAGCUUGCAUGUUUCAAGUGAUCGAUCUGCCGUUUUCUAUAGCAUAUCAUUGAUAAAAUUGUCACUGUUAAAAUUUUUUUUAAGCUUCUAAUCAUGGAUUCAGAUAUGUUUUUCGGGGUUUGUAACUGAUGCUCACGGAGUUGACUGCUUUGAAAGUGGUUACAUCAAUAAGAAUUGCAUUCUAUGGCGCACUAAAAACUGCUGUUAUUGACUUAGAUGGUAUGCAAUAGCUGCCUGAGGUCUGUGAUCAUACAUGCUGCUGGACGAUUUGGAUUUAUUCAAACUGGACAUAAAGGGAAAUACAGUGUGGGAAGACAGUUCAACAAACUUCCUGGAUUCUUGAAUGUAAAUAGCAGCGCAAAGUAAACUAGUUGGGGUAACAGGUUUACAACAAUAAUAAAGAUGAUGGUGGAUACUGGUUCAACAGCUAAACAUGAACCAGAACUUGAUGCUUUGCCACAGAAGGAUGAUGAUGGCGGUUAUUUUAGUGGAGGAUGGAAGAGUGAGGAUGGAAGACUGAGUUGUGGUUAUUCAAGCUUUAGAGGAAAGAGAGCUAGCAUGGAGGAUUGUUAUGAUAUUAAGACUUCUAAAAUUGAGGGAGAAACAGUUUGUUUGUUUGGGAUAUUUGAUGGUUAGAACUGUUUUAACCAUCCUUCCAUUUAAAAUAAUCUUGAGUUAGUAGCCAUUGGUAGUUUCUUUAGCUCUUAUUGUUAACUAAGUUUUUAGUUAAUUAGUGAUUGACUAACUAAUUUAUCAUAUACACACGUAAUAAAUGAGAAUGUAAAUGAUUACCUUACAUUUUUUGGAAUAAAGUAUGUAAAUAAACAUAUCAGAGAUGAUGGCUCUACUGCUUCAACGGCAGUUCUAGUUGGCAAUCAUCUAUAUGUUGCAAAUGUUGGGGAUUCACGGACCAUUAUAUCAAAGAAUGGAAAAGGUAUUUUCAAUGUCUAUAGAUAUUGACAGAAAGGAAAGUAACUUUGGAGAGAGAAGACAAUUGCAAUUGAAUAUAAAGAAACAAGGCUUUGAUGCCUGUGUACUUUGUCUGCCACAUUUAAAUGUUUAACUAGUAUCAAUCUUAUAUCAUUGUAUAUUUGUUUGAGACAUAGUUGCCCAAUAUGUAUAAUGUAUGUAUACAUGAAUAUGUGUUUGGUAUUUUAAUUGCUUGUAGAUACCAACAUAUUGAUCUCAUCAAAUCUUAUAGUAGCUGUCAAGUUAUUAAGCAAUGUUAAAAACAUGAAUUUAUUCAUAAUUCAGUGUCA